CCUACGGGAGGCAGCAGUGAGGAAUAUUGGUCAAUGGACGCAAGUCUGAACCAGCCAUGCCGCGUGCAGGAAGACGGCUCUAUGAGUUGUAAACUGCUUUUGUACGAGGGUAAACGCAGAUACGCGUAUCUGUCUGAAAGUAUCGUAUGCAUAAGGAACGACUAACUCCGUGCCAGCAGCCGCGGUAAUACGGAGGAUUCAAGCGUUAUCCGGAUUUAUUGGGUUUAAAGGGUUCGUAGGCGGUCGGAUAAGUUAGAGGUGAAAUCCCGAGGCUCAACUUCGGAAUUGCCUUUGAUACUGUUUGGCUAGAGUGUAGGUGCGGUAGGCGGAAUGCAUGGUGUAGCGGUGAAAUGCGUAGAGAUCAUACAGAACACCGAUGGCGAAGGCAGCUUACCAAGCUACUUCUGACGUUGAGGCACGAAAGCGUGGGGAGCAAACAGGAUUAGAUACCCUGGUAGUC
rnacentral:rRNA from 1 species